CCAUUAGAUGUUCUGGGCUGCACGCGCGCUACACUGUCGGAUUCAGCGAGUCAUAUCCUUAACCGAAAGGUUUGGGUAAUCUUUUGAAAGUCCGACGUGAUGGGGAUUGAUCAUUGCAAUUAUUGAUCAUGAACGAGGAAUUCCUAGUAAGCGCGAGUCAUCAGCUCGCGUUGAUUACGUCCCUGCCCUUUGUACACACCGCCCGUCGCUACUACCGAUUGAAUGGUUUAGUGAGAUCUUCGGAUUGGCGCCUACGCGGCUUCUCUGAGGCCACGCUGGAUGCCGAAAAGUUGCUCAAACUGUAUCAUUUAGAGGAAGUAAAAGUCGUAACA
rnacentral:rRNA from 1 species